rnacentral:rRNA from 1 species
UCGAGAAUCUUCGGCAAUGGGCGAAAGCCUGACCGAGCGACGCCGCGUGCGGGAUGAAGGCCCUUGGGUUGUAAACCGCUGUCAGAGGGGAUGAAGUGCCAGGUGGUAAUUAAUAAUCCACUUGGUUUGACAUAGCCUCAGAGGAAGCACGGGCUAAGUUCGUGCCAGCAGCCGCGGUAAUACGAACUGUGCAAACGUUAUUCGGAAUCACUGGGCUUAAAGGGUGCGUAGGCGGCUGUCUAAGCAGGGUGUGAAAGCCCCCGGCUCAACCGGGGAAUUGCGUUCUGAACUGGACGGCUGGAGUGGGAUAGAGGUGUGCGGAACUUCCGGUGGAGCGGUGAAAUGUGUUGAUAUCGGAAGGAACGCCGGUGGCGAAAGCGGCACACUGGGUCUCAACUGACGCUGAGGCACGAAAGCCAGGGGAGCGAACGG